UAUUUAAAUAACUUAAUUUUAAAGUGUAUCAUUGAAGAUGAUAGGAUGAUUUUUAAAUCUUUAAAU
rnacentral:tRNA from 1 species